UACGAAGGGGGCUAGCGUUGCUCGGAAUCACUGGGCGUAAAGCGCACGUAGGCGGGUCUUUAAGUCAGGGGUGAAAUCCUGGAGCUCAACUCCAGAACUGCCUUUGAUACUGAGGAUCUCGAGUCCGGGAGAGGUGAGUGGAACUCCGAGUGUAGAGGUGAAAUGCGCAGAUAUCAGGAGGAACACCUAUUGCGAAGGCAGCUCGCUGGGACGUAACUGACGCUGAGACGCGAAAGCGUGGGGAGCAAACAGG
rnacentral:rRNA from 1 species